GCGUGGAUAAGACAUGCAAGUCGAACGAGAGAAUUGCUAGCUUGCUAAUAAUUCUCUAGUGGCGCACGGGUGAGUAACACGUGAGUAACCUGCCCCCGAGAGCGGGAUAGCCCUGGGAAACUGGGAUUAAUACCGCAUAGUAUCGAAAGAUUAAAGCAGCAAUGCGCUUGGGGAUGGGCUCGCGGCCUAUUAGUUAGUUGGUGAGGUAACGGCUCACCAAGGCGAUGACGGGUAGCCGGUCUGAGAGGAUGUCCGGCCACACUGGAACUGAGACACGGUCCAGACACCUACGGGUGGCAGCAGUCGAGAAUCAUUCACAAUGGGGGAAACCCUGAUGGUGCGACGCCGCGUGGGGGAAUGAAGGUCUUCGGAUUGUAAACCCCUGUCAUGUGGGAGCAAAUUAAAAAGAUAGUACCACAAGAGGAAGAGACGGCUAACUCUGUGCCAGCAGCCGCGGUAAUACAGAGGUCUCAAGCGUUGUUCGGAAUCACUGGGCGUAAAGCGUGCGUAGGCUGUUUCGUAAGUUGUGUGUGAAAGGCGCGGGCUCAGCCCGCGGACGGCACAUGAUACUGCGAGACUAGAGUAAUGGAGGGGGAACCGGAAUUCUCGGUGUAGCAGUGAAAUGCGUAGAUAUCGAGAGGAACACUCGUGGCGAAGGCGGGUUCCUGGACAUUAACUGACGCUGAGGCACGAAGGCCAGGGGAGCGAAAGGGAUUAAAUACCCCUGUAGUCCUGGCCAUUAACCGGUGCACGCUUGGUGUGCGGGGAAUCGACCCCCCUGCGGCCCGGAGCUAACGCGUUAAGCGUGCCGCCUGGGGAGUACGUUCGCAAGAUUAAAAACUCAAAGAAAUUGACGGGGACCCGCACAAGCGGUGGAGUAUGUGGCUUAAUUUGAUGCAACGCGAAGAACCUUACCUGGGCUUGACAUGUAAUGAACAACAUGUGAAAGCAUGCGACUCUUCGGAGGCGUUACACAGGUGCUGCAUGGCCGUCGUCAGCUCGUGUCGUGAGAUGUUUGGUUAAGUCCAGCAACGAGCGCAACCCCUGUUGCCAGUUACCAGCACGUGAAGGUGGGGACUCUGGCGAGACUGCCCAGAUCAACUGGGAGGAAGGUGGGGACGACGUCAGGUCAGUAUGGCCCUUAUGCCCAGGGCUGCACACGUACUACAAUGCCCAGUACAGAGGGGGCCGAAGCCGCGAGGCGGAGGAAAUCCUAAAAACUGGGCCCAGUUCGGACUGUAGGCUGCAACCCGCCUACACGAAGCCGGAAUCGCUAGUAAUGGCGCAUCAGCUACGGCGCCGUGAAUACGUUCCCGGGUCUUGCACAAAGGGCCCGUC
rnacentral:rRNA from 1 species